rnacentral:lncRNA from 1 species
AAGUAUGGAAAAAAUGAGCAUUUCAUCCCAAAGAUGCAGCCGACUUGAUUGUGGUGGAUAAGCUUUUUGAUGUGCUGCUGGAUUCUGUUUGCUAGUAUUUUAUUAAGAAUUUUUGCAUUAAUGUUCAUCAGGGAUAUUGGCCUGGAUUGAGCAGGCCAUUUCCAAUCCAGCGGAAGACCUUCUAGAAGAGGUGAUGGGUGGGAGAGUGCUGGCAUACUAUGUGAAGCUACUAUUUGGAGUUGGACACGAGUGCAUGUGACCUUGUGCCACAGCGGGAAUGUGAGCUGGAUGACAAAUGGAGAUUUGGACUUGUGAUAAUUGGCCUCUGUGUCAUUGUGUGGAAGACUGACUGGUCCCUUUAUUUCCUGUAGCUUGACUACCACACAAAUGAAUCCACUCAAAUGUUGGCAAGUGGAGCAGAGUCCCAGGACAGUCUGCAAUCUCUACAGGUACAGAAACACCCCCAGUUCAAGGAUCUUCACACCUGGAUUUAGGCCUACUCCUGCAACUACCCCAGAACCUGGAAUUUAUAUGUUCAACAUGGAGCCAUCCCAGCCAUGACAACAGAGAAUGUACCACUCUCACGCUGGCGCUGAGAUGGGCAGGUGCUGCAGCAGCCCGGCUGGAAGCGAUGCAGCAUCCAGGACGACGG